AUUGAACGCUGGCGGCAUGCCUUACACAUGCAAGUCGAACGGCAGCACGGGUGCUUGCACCUGGUGGCGAGUGGCGAACGGGUGAGUAAUACAUCGGAACAUGUCCUGUAGUGGGGGAUAGCCCGGCGAAAGCCGGAUUAAUACCGCAUACGAUCCACGGAUGAAAGCGGGGGACCUUCGGGCCUCGCGCUAUAGGGUUGGCCGAUGGCUGAUUAGCUAGUUGGUGGGGUAAAGGCCUACCAAGGCGACGAUCAGUAGCUGGUCUGAGAGGACGACCAGCCACACUGGGACGGAGACACGGCCCAGACUCCUACGGGAGGCAGCAGUGGGGAAUUUUGGACAAAGGGCGAAAGCCUGAUCCAGCAAUGCCGCGUGUGUGAAGAAGGCCUUCGGGUUGUAAAGCACUUUUGUCCGGAAAGAAAUCCUUGACUCUAAUACAGUCGGGGGAUGACGGUACCGGAAGAAUAAGCACCGGCUAACUACGUG
rnacentral:rRNA from 1 species